GUUGGAUAGAAGAAUGAAUGACCUUCCUGAGGCCAGUUCUGCUUCUGAGAAUGAAUUCCCAUACAGAAUGUGUUUCACUGAAUUCAAC
rnacentral:snoRNA from 1 species